UUACAGGUAUAUGAAACAGGCUCUUGCAAGAUCCAGAUCAAAGGGAAUAUUUACAUAGAUUAAGGGCAAUAUGCGUUACUUGCUAGUGUUAGCACUUUUGAUGGUUAUCAACAAAGAGUCCAUCACCGAUGCAGAAUGCACCGAAGAUACUGUAACCGUGACCUGUUCUCCCCUGAAAGAUAUCAGUAGUUCCGGGCUCACGCUUGCCGAAGCAUGCAGAAUAAUGGAUACGUUCAAGACAUGCCUACGAAAUAAUGGAUGUGACGAAAAAUUUAUCAAAGUUGGGGAGCAGGCAUUUGAAGAAAAAGUCGGUGCAU